GUCGAGCGGUAACAUUUCUAGCUUGCUAGAAGAUGACGAGCGGCGGACGGGUGAGUAAUGCUUGGGAAUAUGCCUUAUGGUGGGGGACAACAGUUGGAAACGACUGCUAAUACCGCAUAAUGUCUACGGACCAAAGGGGGGGAUCUUCGGACCUCUCGCCAUUUGAUUAGCCCAAGUGAGAUUAGCUAGUUGGUGAGGUAAUGGCUCACCAAGGCGACGAUCUCUAGCUGGUUUGAGAGGAUGAUCAGCCACACUGGGACUGAGACACGGCCCAGACUCCUACGGGAGGCAGCAGUGGGGAAUAUUGCACAAUGGGCGCAAGCCUGAUGCAGCCAUGCCGCGUGUGUGAAGAAGGCCUUCGGGUUGUAAAGCACUUUCAGUAAGGAGGAAAGGGAUGUGGUUAAUAACUGCAUUCUGUGACGUUACUUACAGAAGAAGCACCGGCUAACUUCGUGCCAGCAGCCGCGGUAAUACGAGGGGUGCAAGCGUUAAUCGGAAUUACUGGGCGUAAAGCGUUCGUAGGCGGUUGAUUAAGCAAGAUGUGAAAGCCCAGGGCUCAACCUUGGAACUGCAUUUUGAACUGGUCAACUAGAGUACUGUAGAGGGUGGUGGAAUUUC
rnacentral:rRNA from 1 species